CGGGACACGUGGUAUCCUGUCUGAAUAUGGGGGGACCAUCCUCCAAGGCUAAAUACUCCUGACUGACCGAUAGUGAACCAGUACCGUGAGGGAAAGGCGAAAAGAACCCCGGCGAGGGGAGUGAAAAAGAACCUGAAACCGUGUACGUACAAGCAGUGGGAGCACGCUUAGGCGUGUGACUGCGUACCUUUUGUAUAAUGGGUCAGCGACUUAUAUUCUGUAGCAAGGUUAACCGAAUAGGGGAGCCGAAGGGAAACCGAGUCUUAACUGGGCGUUAAGUUGCAGGGUAUAGACCCGAAACCCGGUGAUCUAGCCAUGGGCAGGUUGAAGGUUGGGUAACACUAACUGGAGGACCGAACCGACUAAUGUUGAAAAAUUAGCGGAUGACUUGUGGCUGGGGGUGAAAGGCCAAUCAAACCGGGAGAUAGCUGGUUCUCCCCGAAAGCUAUUUAGGUAGCGCCUCGUGAAUUCAUCUCCGGGGGUAGAGCACUGUUUCGGCAAGGGGGUCAUCCCGACUUACCAACCCGAUGCAAACUGCGAAUACCGGAGAAUGUUAUCACGGGAGACACACGGCGGGUGCUAACGUCCGUCGUGAAGAGGGAAACAACCCAGACCGCCAGCUAAGGUCCCAAAGUCAUGGUUAAGUGGGAAACGAUGUGGGAAGGCCCAGACAGCCAGGAUGUUGGCUUAGAAGCAGCCAUCAUUUAAAGAAAGCGUAAUAGCUCACUGGUCGAGUCGGCCUGCGCGGAAGAUGUAACGGGGCUAAACCAUGCACCGAAGCUGCGGCAGCGACGCUGAUGCGUUGUUGGGUAGGGGAGCGUUCUGUAAGCCUGUGAAGGUGUGCUGUGAGGCAUGCUGGAGGUAUCAGAAGUGCGAAUGCUGACAUAAGUAACGAUAAAGCGGGUGAAAAGCCCGCUCGCCGGAAGACCAAGGGUUCCUGUCCAACGUUAAUCGGGGCAGGGUGAGUCGACCCCUAAGGCGAGGCCGAAAGGCGUAGUCGAUGGGAAACAGGUUAAUAUUCCUGUACUUGGUGUUACUGCGAAGGGGGGACGGAGAAGGCUAUGUUGGCCGGGCGACGGUUGUCCCGGUUUAAGCGUGUAGGCUGGUUUUCCAGGCAAAUCCGGAAAAUCAAGGCUGAGGCGUGAUGACGAGGCACUACGGUGCUGAAGCAACAAAUGCCCUGCUUCCAGGAAAAGCCUCUAAGCAUCAGGUAACAUCAAAUCGUACCCCAAACCGACACAGGUGGUCAGGUAGAGAAUACCAAGGCGCUUGAGAGAACUCGGGUGAAGGAACUAGGCAAAAUGGUGCCGUAACUUCGGGAGAAGGCACGCUGAUAUGUAGGUGAAGCGACUUGCUCGUGGAGCUGAAAUCAGUCGAAGAUACCAGCUGGCUGCAACUGUUUAUUAAAAACACAGCACUGUGCAAACACGAAAGUGGACGUAUACGGUGUGACGCCUGCCCGGUGCCGGAAGGUUAAUUGAUGGGGUCAGCGCAAGCGAAGCUCUUGAUCGAAGCCCCGGUAAACGGCGGCCGUAACUAUAACGGUCCUAAGGUAGCGAAAUUCCUUGUCGGGUAAGUUCCGACCUGCACGAAUGGCGUAAUGAUGGCCAGGCUGUCUCCACCCGAGACUCAGUGAAAUUGAACUCGCUGUGAAGAUGCAGUGUACCCGCGGCAAGACGGAAAGACCCCGUGAACCUUUACUAUAGCUUGACACUGAACAUUGAGCCUUGAUGUGUAGGAUAGGUGGGAGGCUUUGAAGUGUGGACGCCAGUCUGCAUGGAGCCGACCUUGAAAUACCACCCUUUAAUGUUUGAUGUUCUAACGUUGACCCGUAAUCCGGGUUGCGGACAGUGUCUGGUGGGUAGUUUGACUGGGGCGGUCUCCUCCUAAAGAGUAACGGAGGAGCACGAAGGUUGGCUAAUCCUGGUCGGACAUCAGGAGGUUAGUGCAAUGGCAUAAGCCAGCUUGACUGCGAGCGUGACGGCGCGAGCAGGUGCGAAAGCAGGUCAUAGUGAUCCGGUGGUUCUGAAUGGAAGGGCCAUCGCUCAACGGAUAAAAGGUACUCCGGGGAUAACAGGCUGAUACCGCCCAAGAGUUCAUAUCGACGGCGGUGUUUGGCACCUCGAUGUCGGCUCAUCACAUCCUGGGGCUGAAGUAGGUCCCAAGGGUAUGGCUGUUCGCCAUUUAAAGUGGUACGCGAGCUGGGUUUAGAACGUCGUGAGACAGUUCGGUCCCUAUCUGCCGUGGGCGCUGGAGAACUGAGGGGGGCUGCUCC
rnacentral:rRNA from 1 species